GCCCAAUGUAUCUCUAUUAAGUGCAUAUGAGAUAUCUGAAGUAUAUCUGAAAAAUGAACACAAAGAAAUGAAGAAAUAUAUUGCUUCAUUUGAAGGGAUUUGAAAAGAUAGGGAAGUGACCAUCAUGUGUGAUGGAUGGAGUGGGCCAAUUCAAAUGACCAUAAUCAAUUUUCUAGCGUAUUCAAAUCAUGGCACAGUGUUCCACAAGUCCAUAGAUGCAUCAAACGUAAAACACAAAGAUGAAAAUUAUUAUUUUAAAAUUGUGAAAGAGGUAGUUGAAGAAAUCGGUCUAGAGAAGGUUGUGCAAGUAGUGAAGGGUAAUGAGGCUGCCAUCAAAGCUGGUGGAAAAAAAUUGAUGGAGAAAUUCCCAACUUGUAUUGGACAGCUUGAAGUGCACAUUGUAUUGACCUUAUUUUAGAAGAUUUUGGGAAAAGAAAAAGCAUUAAGAAAAUUAUUGAUCAAGCCAAAGUUAUCACAAUUUAUUUACAACCAUAAUUGGGUGGUAAAUUAUAUAAAGAAAUUCACAGAAAAUAGAGAUAUAAUUCACCCUGGCAUCACAAGAUUUGCCACAAAUUUCAUUGCAUUGGAGUAUUUUGCUCGAUGUAGGUCGAGGUUACGAAAUAUGUUUGAAUCUGAGCAAUGGAUAGCAAGCAAGUUUGGUCAGGCUACCAAUG
rnacentral:misc_RNA from 1 species